rnacentral:rRNA from 1 species
GGGUGAGUAAAGAUUGUUUAGUUUAGUAUGGUGUGGAAAUAUAUUGAUUUAAAAUAAUAUUAUUAUAAGUUAUAAAGGUAAAAUUAAGUGGUGAGAUGUAAUUAUAUUUUUUGUUAAUAGUUAGUUAUUACAUUGAAUUUAGAAAAUAAACUGGAAUUAGAUACUCCAUUAUAUUUUUAUUAAAAGUUAAAUGUUUGAGUAGUAACCAGGUAUGAUCUUGAAACUCAAAGAAUUUGGCGGUAUUUAAGUCUAGUUAGAGGAACUUGUGCUGUAAAUGAUAAUCCGCGAGAAUCUGUCUUUAUUUGGUAAGAUUCAGUUUGUAUACCGCCAUGAAGUGGAUAAUUUAAAUAUGAGUGUAUCUAAGUAGAGAAGUUCUUAUAGAUUAGGUCAAGGUGCAGUUUAUAAUAAAGUAGUCAUGGGUUACAUUAUUUUAAAAAUAUGAUGGAUAGAGAUCUGGAAGAUAAGAUUUUUGAAGGUGGAUUUAAUAGUAAGUUAUAUAAAUUAAGUAUAAUUGAUAGAAGCUCUUAAGUGUGUACAUAUUGCCCGUCGUUCUUGCUUA